UCCCUCUUAGCUCAGUUGGUAGAGCGCGUCACUAGUAUCGCACGUAUCUCAGAAGUCUUUCAUGACGAGUUCAGUCGUUCAAAUCGGCUAGCGGGAA